rnacentral:lncRNA from 1 species
AAUUACCUCCUUCUGGGCAUUCACUUGUCUGUUCUACUCAUUACUUACUGGAUUAUGUUGACCAUUCUUGUGGCCAAAAUUUCCUGUGUUGUACUCUCUCUGAAUGGUGGCUGCAUUUGGCUCAAUUGACAAUUAUCAAACAGCAGUAAUGCUUGCAGGGCCAGGCCGUUGAAAUGAGGAGGGGAUACUUCCAAGUCAUAUCUAACAAGGCUAUUCUUGUCCUUUUCAGAUUCUGCAUUUGAAGCCAA